AAGUUCGUCGUUUUUAUUCUUGAUUACUUUGGUGAAUUAUCCAUUAUUUUUUUUAUAUUAUUUUGAAAACUUGAUUGAUUUGUAUUUGUUGAUUGAGGGAGUUAAUUAUUUGAUGGUUAUUGAAAUCAAUAAUUUUUAGAUGUUCGGUUAUUACAACGUAAUUGCCGUUAUCCAUUAGACCAAAGAGAAGUUAAUAUAUGGUUCUGUGGAGCACAGGCUAUUUUACACGGAUUUGUCCGGGUUCCGCACGGGAACAAUGCAUCAGCGGCUUCUUCACCACCGUCAAGCACUAGUUUGUGGAAAAUAAAAAGGAAGAAACAAAAAUUCACGGCCGUAAUCUCCAUCACCCACUGGAAUUUGGCACAGCAAUAUAAGAAGCUGAAACAACAGCAUCCGCAAGUUAGGUCAUUCAAGGCACUUAUAGAUUUCAAUUUAGUACAUGCUAAUAAGGAUUUCGAGGCACUCGCAGCGCUCCUACAAUAUUUGGUCUACGUCAUCACAACGAGAACAAUCACAACAACAGCAGCUCAAGGAGCAGCGAGCACCGUUGACAUCAAGCAAGUUCGAGUGUAUUUCUGGCCGUGAAUGCUAUGUGAAGUGAUAUUGCAUGCUUGCAGCGUUUCGUCGCUGACAGCAGUGGCAGAUUCCCCCUUUGUCCCGUUCACAAACGGGGCCGGCCAGGCUUUUAAAUCCCCAUCCAGCGAACCAAACCAACGUUGUUGCCGCUGGUCUUUUGGUCGUUUGCCACCGGAUAUCCUAAUUUCGGAUGUAAUCAAAAUGUGUCCCACCACUAAUCCAACACAACAUCUUCGCCUCCAUUACCACAAGAAGCCAAAACUCAGAACCAUAGAAAGAAAUAAGACGGACGACAUUGCGGAAAAUUUUAGAUUUGAGACGUUCGCUGAUACUUCGAUCACAAAAAGCACCAGUUGUGGAACGCCACUUAGGUUGCGUUAUAUGUUAUACAUCUGAGAGUGAUUGAAUCGGUUUACUGCCUGUUUGUCCGACGGACGCAUUUUUCGCGGAGACGGUUUUAGCGAUUCACACCAAAUUUGGUGGAAAGGUCGGAACUGUGGAGCGGAAUCCCCAUACAUGCAAAAGGGGGUGCACAAUUUUUCAUCAAAUAUGGUCAUGUGGGGUA